rnacentral:rRNA from 1 species
UACGUAGGGCGCAAGCGUUGUCCGGAAUUAUUGGGCGUACAGAGCUCGUAGGCGUCCUGUCGCGUCCGCUGUGAAAUCCCGGGGCUUAACCCCGGGCGUGCAGUCGAUACGGGCAGGCUAGAGUUCGGUAGGGGAGACUGGAAUUCCUGGUGUAGCGGUGAAAUGCGCAGAUAUCAGGAGGAACACCGGUGGCGAAGGCGGGUCUCUGGGCCGAUACUGACGCUGAGGAGCGAAAGCGUGGGGAGCGAACAGG